rnacentral:lncRNA from 1 species
CAGACUUCGAAAUGAACCUCUCGCUGUUGUUAAGAUCCUUUUAAACCAGAAAUUUAGAGUGUUGUCAAGAACAGUUUUAAAAAUGUAAUACUGUUUAUUUUGCUUCAAAAACAUUUCAGCAUUCUAAACAUACAAAAAAAACAUAACGUUGCAAAUUUGUUUAAGUACAGAGUGUUUUUGAACUUCAGUUGCUGCACUGGCUCUUCAUUGAGUUGACGAUGAAGAGAUGUCUACAGUUUCAGUUUAAAAACUACCGCACUUAACUAAAAAAAUCCGUACACUUCUCAUGCCAGCUGAACCCCCUUCCACAACUAAGAAUGGCAGCAGAAUGCUAUUUCACUAUAUACAGAAAGACAACUUUAAGCUAAAUGGACGCCCACUGUAGUGUAAAUAGAUCUACCCUCACAGUGCAUGCUUCGGGCCAUGGCACCCCGGGGAACGUACAGCCUCUCCAGUAAUCACUGCUCCUCUAAGGCAUCAUAACUCUAAGCAUGUACCACAAGAAUCUGUCUAGUUUUUACAAACUAUAGAUAUGUACAGUUUAUAACCCAGGAUUUUCUAGCCAAUAACCAUAUAGUAACACCACCUUACAAAUUAAAAAAAUGCUUGAAACAUUUUUAAAUGCUUUGUUACACCAACAGCAAAGUGCACAGAGUUAGGAGAACACUAGAGGGCCUUUUCAUUUUAAAAAUGUUUGGAAAUAUGUACAACUUUGAUACAGUUUCAGGGUGCUCAUUACACCCAUGGCCACUUCAUGUAAACCAGUUACAAUUUCUAGAGCACUUUUAGAAACUACAACGCGAUCGGAAUCCAAAUUUUUUCUUUUUUAAUUAAGCCUAAUAAGGGCAAGAGACACCAUCUCAAAUAAGAGGUGCUGCAUUUACGGUGUUUCCCCUACUCUAUGGUAUUCACAUGGAGACAAGUAUAGUACAGUUUUAUUCGUCAUCAUCAUCUUCAUCCUCCUCUUCUUCAUCCUCCUCCUCCUCUUCGUCCUCUUCCUCUACCUUUUUCCGAGCAGCUUUGGUUGCCGCUCCCUUUGCGCCAUCAAACUUUCCUUUAGACUUGUAGUCUGCAACAUCCUUCUCGUACUUCUCCUUCAGCUUAGCAGCCUUAUUGUUAUAGGGCUGCUUUUCACCAUCACUGAGGUUGUUCCACAUUUCACCAAGCUUCUUUGCUACGUCCCCAAUGGAUAUGCCAGGGUUUGUGGACUUGAUCUUGGGGCGGAACUCUGAGCAGAAUAGGAAGAAGCCAGACGGUGGUCGCUUUGGGGCAUUGGGGUCCUUCUUCUUCUUGCCACCCUUAGCUGGGCCAUAGUCCUUCAUUUCUCUAUCGUAUCGUACCUUAUCAGCCUUUGCCAUUUCAUCAAAUUUAGCCUUCUCCUUGCUUGACAUGGUCUUCCACCUCUCUGAGCACUUCUUAGAGAACUCUGCAAAGUUGACAGGAACCUCUGGGUUCUUCUUCUUGUGCUCCUCACGGCACGUCUGCACAAAGAAGGCAUAGGCAGACAUCUUGCCCUUGGGCUUCUUCGGGUCACCUUUAGCCAUCCUGACUCUGUAUUGUUCGCGGCAGUGUGGCAGGAGCUGAGCGCAGGGCACGGCGCGGGCUCGGCGCGGCUCAGCCUCGCGUUGGCUGCCUACGAGAGCGGCCUGAUUGGCUGCAGGGCUCCGCCGUUUAAAACAACCUCCUCGCCCACCGAUUGGCGCGCCGCCUCAUGAAUAUUAAGCACUGCAGCGCGGCGGUUGGCGGGCGCGGGUGAGGUCAUUUGUUCAAAACGAGCGCCCGCGGGGGAACGGGGAGCACGGCCCGGCGCGCUCCGGGGAAAGCGCUGGGGCGCGCUCCGAAGAGCUUUUCCCGCCACGUGGCUGUGGCGACUCCGCUAUACGGGUGUCCCCCAGAAGGACGGGAUCGGGUACGGGGCCGUCCCCCCUGCGGUGGGCUCUUGGCGACGCCACGCUUUCUGCCCCGUUUAGGAAGCGGUCCGCAAAGCAGCGCGGCGCGAGAGGGGAGCGGGGCUGCAGGGUGGAUGGAGAGCCCCAGCUGCGUUGUGGGGAGCACCCGCCUCCAGCAGCCGCUCCUCGGUGGUUCCUGCCUCGGGGCCGCGGUGGCCCGAUGCCCACUUCACUGGCCCCGUCUGCAGAGUUAGGUUCUGUCAGGCACGACAGCUGCGCAGGGCAGGAGGGGCCACCCGGGUAGCACAUCACUGGCGCGAUAGCCACUGUUCCGCAUCUCCCGGCGCCGACCCGUCGGAGCGGUGCUAGUACCGCACGGGCCGGCUGAACACCCAGAACCCCAGCACGCGCUCGGGGCCGAAACUGCGCCAGCGCACAGUAUCCCGCUGCCUUGAAGGAAGGGGCAGCUUUCUCCAUCGGGCUGCCUCUGGGGCCGGGUCGGAAAACCGAGCUGUUGAUCUAAAGUUGUGGUAGAAGGCACGUACAGAUAGCCAGAAGGAGCAGUUGCCCUCUUUAAGGAACAGACAGUGACAAGGAGUCCCGCCACCCUGCCAGGCAGGAGGGUUCACCACGAGCCCUCACAGCUCUCGCAGCCGCAGGUUGACUGUGCUGAAAGAGACACAGCCACGCAAGCCUCCUGCGUGCUGACCCUCUGCGAAGGCGCAGAGUUUCACAGAGUAUUUAGCCAAAGUCCUGCUCCUUCUCAGCCCAAACGCAGCUGUCAUCUGCACUCUGAAGCUGCCAAGGUCUGCAGCGACCUUCCAUGCUGCCCUGGGCCCUGCGGAGUGCCCUGCAGAACCAGCCCAGCUUGCCUCUUGCCCUAGUUCCACGUUCUCAAACCAAAAGCUUAAAACAAGGGGCUCAUUCAUAAACAUUAAUGAGCCUACCUGAGGGACUGUAUUCUGUAGCAUCAUCAUAAAAUAACACAAGUAACACUACUGCAGGAUGAUCUCUUUGUAGCUGACAAACAUCCCUCUCACCUAUUUUUAGGGAUACUUUAAAGCAUUUCAGACUAGUUGAAUAAUUAAGGCUUUUUUUUUCUUUGACUCUGAAGUUGUACGUUUUUUUGCUCUGGAACACCUUCUUCCUCAAGUUAUGACCAGCCUAUAGAGCACACCAGGCUGGAGCAUCCCUCCCAUUUACCAUAGGCCAAGAGAAACAGUCCCUGAGAUACUUGUUUUAGGAAGGUCAGGGAAAUUCUGACAGCUGGUCAAGGGGCAAAGGAGAUAUUUUGGUAACUGAGGGACAACCAGGGGAAAGGCUUUGUCCCAGCAUGGUUUUGAAAGCAUUGGAGGGCUGAGUAACAAACAGGUGAACAUAAUGUCCCAGGAAACACAUGUAGAUGUGUAGGCCCCCAGAGCCGCCACUGAUGGAACAAAUCCUCCCCCAGUGCCCUCUGCACCAUGCACUGCACCUGGCCCAGUGUCUGAGCACCUUCCUGUGGUGCACCAAGAAAGCAGCCCAGAAAAUUAGCUGAGCACACUUAACGUUUUUCCACAAUACCUUCCAGGCCACGUGAUCCUGCUUCCUCCAGCAGCCUGGCUCUGGCACCUGAGCCCUGAGAGCCAACACAGCUCUCAACCGCACAAAAGCAGAGCCCCAUGCAUCAUCUUUCUUUCUCAGAUAAAUUUUCUGAUGGUUUAGUGAACCAAACCAAUGUAACAGGGAGUUGGGUGAGUCCCAGAGCCAAGGCGGCAAGGGUGCAGCCACGUACAGCCAUGAUCAGACAGCACCUGUAUGGAUGGCAGCUCAUCCAAGGACCAGCUCUACUCUUCUGCCCAAAUGCAUCUUAACAGAACAUCCAUGUCUCAGUAACUGGGAUGAGGAAAGGGAGAGAGUCGUUCCAUGUCUCCUAAGAAGUAUGACUUCAGCAGUUAUUAGGGUUUUCCAUUUUCUUUUUUUCAAUACAGACUAUCGUCUCCUUAUGCUACAGUAAACAUGAGAAACAAUCCAAAACUAGAAGAAACAUCAGGAUGCCUGGCUCUUGAAAGGUUUGCAAUGAUCCCAGGAUGCAAAGAGAGCUCAAAACACAGUCUUGUACCCACCCUUCAGAAAGGGUGACUUGACCCCCACAAUUGCUAGAGAGAGGAUUUAUUCUGCAAACAUAUGCUACAUUUUCAAGCAACUGUAAGCCAUACCCUGCAUUCCACAGCAAGACCCAGGUCAGGCAGUACCUAGAAUGUAAGGACUGAGACAUAGAAUUGAAGGUGAGGUCCCAUAGCAAGCAGACAGCUUCAAACACUUGCUGAGAAGAUUGACUGCAAAGUCUUGUCCCAGCUGGCACUGCCGAUCAUUGAAGGUUUCCUUUCCCUGUAGAGCGUGUUGGUGCUUUCCAGGAAACAACAGAGCUGAAAAUUGUUGAGGCCAAGUCAAUACCUGCCAACAUGGAAUGACAUCUCCUCAGCUAGAGAUGAUUAGAAGAGGGAGGCUGCUGUGAAAGAGUGGGAGCUACUGAGGACUCCUUCAACAAAUCAAUGGAUUAUAUACAGAUACAGAAAAGCCAUCCACAGUUACAAAUGAAAUUCUUUCUUCUGCUCCCCAGAACUGCCUGAGGUAUAGCUUAAGUUCACCUGUUUUCACCCAACAUCCAGAUCUCAUCUGAACACUAGCCACAGCUUGGUGGAGAUUGGCAUCUCAGCUCUGUCUGUUCUGCUCCAGUCAUGUCAGGUUGCUAACAAAGUAUACGUAUCAUGUAUUUAAGCCCUUAAGAGAUCACAAGUGUUUAAAGGGCAUUUGUGGAAUUGCUCAUAUGAAGGGUGGAAUAUGGAAACUACAUCUUCACCAGCACCAGCUCCAUGGUUCAGCCAGCCACUCUUACCCCUUCUCAUCAGUGAAACCAUGAACAUACCAGGGGGAUCUCCCAGGACAACAACCGAAUAUGAGAGAUUAUUCCCCACGACGUUCAGCAGCUUUCCCAAUCUGCAUCCAGCUUGCCUCAAGGCAGAACAUUUGCCCAACACUGAUUUCCACUUGACCUCUGGCUAGCUGUGUCAGGCUUUGCUCAGCACUUAGGAUGAUUUCAGCCCAACAGUAGGUUUGAACUGGUACCAUGUCUUCACUGGAUUUGUCCAACAGGGGUCAGAGUGCAGUGUGCUGCUUGUGUUGGCCAUCUUGAUCACAGGUAGCACCACCGAUAACACCAAGAAGGUGCAGUGGAUCACAGGAACAGGACAAGUACACAUGCUUGUUGCUUACAGGGUGAAGAAGUUCAUGAAUACACUUCUGAUAAAUAUUCAGUCCUAUCAAGUGUG